GUCUAUAUGAAGUUAUAUGUAGUCUGGCCUGCCCAUUGAAUUUUUAAAAGGCCGCGGUAUUUUGACUGUGCAAAGGUAGCAUAAUAAUUAGUUUUUUAAUUGGAAGCUUGUAUGAAAGGUUGGACAAAGAAGUGACUGUCUUUAAUAUAUUAUUUGAAUUUUACAUUUAAGUGAAAAGGCUUAAAUUACUUUAAGGGACGAUAAGACCCUAUAAAUCUUUACAUUUUUUUUGUCUUUUUUGUUUAGAUGGCCUAAAAAUAAAAUACAAAAUAAUAUGUUAUAUUGGGGUGAUAGAGAUAUAAAAUUUAAACUGUCUUUAAUAACACAAACAAAUAUAAUUGACUUAAAAUAAAGGAUCCUUUAUGGAGAUUAAAAGUUUAAGUUACUUUAGGGAUAACAGCGUAAUUUUUUUUGAGAGUUCAUAUCGAAAAAAAAGUUUGCGACCUCGAUGUUGAAUUAAAAUUUUCCUUAUGGUGUAGAAGCUAUAAAGGAGAGUCUGUUCGACUUUU
rnacentral:rRNA from 1 species